CCUACGUGAGGCAGCAGUGGGGAAUAUUGCGCAAUGGGCGAAAGCCUGACGCAGCGACGCCGCGUGAGGGAUGAAGGUCUUCGGAUCGUAAAACUCUGUCAGCAGGGAAGAACGGUCACUGUGCUAAUCAGCAGGGCAUUGACGGCACCUGCAAAGGAAGCACCGGCUAACUCCGUGCCAGCAGCCGCGGUAAUAUGGAGGGUGCGAGCGUUAAUCGGAAUUACUGGGCGUAAAGCGCUCGUAGACGGUAUGUCAAGGCAAGGGUGAAAUCCCCGGGCUCAACGUGGGAACUGCCUUGGAAACUGGCAGACUGGAGUGUGGGAGAGGAUAGUGGAAUUCCAGGUGUAGGAGUGAAAUCCGUAGAUAUCUGGAGGAACAUCAGUGGCGAAGGCGACUAUCUGGCACAUAACUGACGCUGAGGAGCGAAAGCGUGGGUAGCAAACAGGAUUAGAUACCCCUGUAGUC
rnacentral:rRNA from 1 species